CAGGUGCUGCAUGGCUGUCGUCAGCUCGUGUUGUGAAAUGUUGGGUUAAGUCCCGCAACGAGCGCAACCCUUAUCCUUUGUUGCCAGCGGUCCGGCCGGGAACUCAAAGGAGACUGCCAGUGAUAAACUGGAGGAAGGUGGGGAUGACGUCAAGUCAUCAUGGCCCUUACGACCAGGGCUACACACGUGCUACAAUGGCGCAUACAAAGAGAAGCGACCUCGCGAGAGCAAGCGGACCUCAUAAAGUGCGUCGUAGUCCGGAUUGGAGUCUGCAACUCGACUCCAUGAAGUCGGAAUCGCUAGUAAUCGUGGAUCAGAAUGCCACGGUGAAUACGUUCCCGGGCCUUGUACACACCGCCCGUCACACCAUGGGAGUGAGUUGCAAAAGAAGUAGGUAGCUUAACCUUCGGGAGGGCGCUUACCACUUUGUGAUUCAUGACUGGGGUGAAGUCGUAACAAGGUAACCGUAGGGGAACCUGCGGUUGGA
rnacentral:rRNA from 1 species